GCAGAGCGGGAGGUUUCCCGCAGCCCCGGCCACCUCGGGCUCUGCGGUGGCCCCGCGGGAGCGGCGUUUCCCCGGUGCCCGGCGGUGCGGGAGCGGCCCCCCCGGCCCCCCCCCCGCAGCCCCAGCCCCGGGAGCCGCCGCGGGUUUGGCACCCCAGGGAGGGGGGGGUGCCGAGAAAGCGGUGCGACAGAAGGCAGGGGCAUCACUGUCGUGUCAAACCCUCGGCGUAUACGGGAGCAGUUACUAGACACUCCAUACAUCAUUUCUGAUCCGCUGCCACCUUCUAAUGUUGUGUUUCGCAUAAAUUCUAGAGGAGCAUGACCUGAGCUCCAGCACGUCCUAGCGAGGCUAGGACUUGUCUUCUUUCACAGGCUGGGCCUUUUCUUGAUUGGCAAGAAAAUUAAUUUCCAGCCAGGCCUACCACCAGGUCUGUGGAUGAAGGCGCUGUAAGGAUGUGCUGCUGAGCAAAGCGCUCCUUAACUGCUUCUAAAUAGCUGUGGGAUAUAACUGGGACUGUCAUCCCACUUUUGCUGGACACUUCUUCUGUGGCCUUGGCCAGAUCAUUGAAAAGCUUUUGUUCUUUUUUUCCCAUUUGUUAAAAAGGAUUUUACUUUUUACCCCGUUGCAGGCAAGGGAGAAGGGAGGUGAUUCUGGGAAGAUAAAUGUUCAUGCAGCACUGUGAAGACUGUUGUUGCUAGAUUCUGCCUACAUACAUAACAAGAUGGACGAUACUCCCUUGUGGACACUGAGCUAAGAAUAAGAGGGCUUGAGGAAAUCUAAGUUUGAAACUCCUGCCAGAGUUGAAUGCUUUUCACAGCCUGUCCUCUUGCCUCUCGGGAGAGGAGCAGAGGAAAUGUCCAUGUUUCUGGAGCCCACCCCUGCGCGUGGCUGGGUUGAGAAGGGAAUGGAGCACGUGCCAUUGUGAUACAGAUGUGUGGACAGAACAGGGGUUAUCCACAGAAUUUUCAAUGGGCCUACAACAAAUAAUGACCAGUAAACACUACUGGAAAUGUAAUGAGAAUACAGCUAUUUAAGUGGGACUGAGUAUUGUCAGAAGAUGAAAGCUAACUCUUGGCAGAAUUCUGGCAGCUGGGGAGAUUUUUCUUGGUAUGACUCCAAGCAUUCAAAAGGAAACAAUACAGCGUCAUGGAAGACUGUAAAACAUCAGUGAACAAGCAGUUGUCAUUUCUGAUAAAUUAGAUAUCAUAGCUGUAUUAAUUAUAACAGUAGAAAUUAUUCAUAGUAUGCAUCUCAACGCAUAUUCCUUUGGUGUUUUUCUUCAAAGAAAUAAACUUAUUUUACAGUGAUGUUCAGUAAACUAAAUAAUACGCACCUAGACUAACCAGAACAUACAGGAUUGAAAAAUGGACUAGACAUUUUCACUUUCUCAAAUUACUCCUCUGAAUAAUUUGAGAGCAAGGUUGUCAAUUUUGGACUUCAGAUAUUUUUUUUUUUUUUGUCUAAGACCUUAAGUUAUUAAUCUUUUUUCAGAAGGAAAUUCCAAACCAAUAGAUGCUUAGUUUAGUAAGCCAUAAGGUUACUUGUUUUAAAUGAGAUAUCACAAGAUUUCUGUAAAUGUUUUAUAACCAAU